UCAUGCCUGAAGGUGAAAAGAUAGAACUAUCCAAGCAUUUGCAAGAGCUAUCUCUCAAAAAUGACCAGGCGAUCAAUGAAAUCCGUAAGAAAUAUGAACGUGAAAAGAUAGAAAUUACUAAUGCCGAAAAAGAAAAGGCAGAAAAGCUCAUAGGGGAAAUUG